ACAUUUUUCCUCUGUGUGUAUAUACUGGAGAACUUUGACCACGCUUGCUGAUUUCAAAGCAAGGCAAUAUCUUUUCAAUGACAUCAGCUUCCACUCCCUGUACCGGGAACUCACCGUUCUCUGAACUGAAAGUUGGGAGCUGGUGCCAAAGGUUGUCUCACCUGUGACUGCAUUUCCUGUAAGCCCAGUUCACCCUGGCGUGGGCCUGGCCGAUUCAGAUAAUGACACACACCUCUCCAGUUCUCACAAGCAACAGCCCCAAGACUAACUCUUCAGUCAUCUCCAGACUAUGACCCAGGCCAUGGAGAGCAGCCACACCUGGAGAGGAGCCUGCCCUUGCUCUCCUGGGCUGUGCUGUCACUGGCAGUGAGAGUAGAACUGUCUUCCCUUCAGAAUCACUGAAUGAUCAAUAAAAAACUCUCAGCAGGGCGCAGUGGCUCACGCCUGUAAUCCCAGCACUUUGGGAGGCCGAGGCGGGUGGAUCACAAGGUCAGGAGAUUGAGACCAUCCUGGCUAACACGGUGAAACCCCGUCGCUACUAAAAAUACAAAAAAUUAGCCGAGUGUGGUGGCAGAUUCCUGUAGUCCCAGCUACUCAGGAGGCUGAGGCAGGAGAAUGGCGUGAACCCGGCAGGCGGAGCUUGCAGUGAUCCCAGAUCGCGCCACUGCACUCCAGCCUGGGCGACAGAGGGAGACUCCGUCUCAAAAAAAAAAAAACAACACUCUGACCCUUGUGGGCAGGAAGUGAGCCUUAUAGGUUAACACGUGUGUGUGCCACAGCCAGAAGCCCCCGUGCCGACCCCUCUUCAUGACAUGGUUGGGGCUGCAGCUCCUAGGGACACAAACACAUGAGAUUCGGGGCCACAGGAGACCCCUACAGUGAAAUGACAAAAUGCCUCCCUGUGCAGCUCAGGCAGUGGACACCGUGUGAUAAGAAAUGGAAAUAAAACCACCGUGUUUUUUUCUGUCCUGUAGCAGGAGGGUAGGUGCCUGCAAGCUUGUGCAUUUCAGAAAGGGUGAAUGACAGUGGAUUCAAAUUAUCUCAAGGUGUUAAUCCCCCAUUUACAUUGUGCUUCUACUGUAUUGACAGACUCCUCUAGUAAGUAUAAGGAAAAAUUAUCUCCUGGGAUUCAAAGGACCAGCCUGCUCAGAAAACGGAGGAGAUAAAGAAUUACACACAGACACAGACAGAUACACAUACAAACACACACAGACCAUACACACAUACACACAUGUAGAUAUGCAGGCAGACACACAGAGAGACUCACAGACACACAUGCGUACACAUAGACACACAGACACACAUACAAACACACACAGACCAUACACACAUACACACAUGCAGAUAUGCAGGCAGACACACAGAGAGACGCCUACAGAGAGACUCACAGACACACAUGUGUAUACACAGACACACAGACAUAUACAAACGCACACAGAGCAUACACACACACACGCAGAUAUGCAGGCAGACACACAAAGAGACUCACAGACAUACAUGUAUACAUACAGACACACAUAUACACAUACAUGCACACAGAGACACACAGAGACACACACGGACAUACACAUAUAUACACAUGUACAUACACAGAUAUACAUACACACGUAUACACAUGCAGAUAUAUAGGCAGACACAUGGAGAGACACACACAGACACACAUACAUACACAGACAUACACGCAUGUACACACAGACACUGGGAUAUAUAAGUACAUAUAGACACUGUAGAAUGAUCUUAACCAUUCCUCUCUUCCUCCAGUAACUCACAUUUCUAGGUGACUCUGAUUUUCUUUAGCUUUAAACGAAAAAGCAAAAUGCUUUCUAUAAUACCUCUUUGUUUGAAAGUAUAUUUUUAAAAAGAUUCUGAAUGGAAGAUAUUUUUUUCAAGUCCUCUCAUCUUUUACUUUUCCGCUGGUGAUAUCCUCACUGAGUCCAUUUGGACAAAGACCGUGGAGAAGCCAUUGGGCGUGACACCCGGCGUGGAGCCUGCCCUUUCAGAGCAGGUCAGAGCCAAAAUAGACAGCAAAGGAGAACUAAAUCCAGGUUGAACAAUGCUGGCCCAAAAAUAGCAACAGCGUUUAUGAGCACAGCAGCAGGAAAGGCUGCUAAUCAUUUGCCAGGAUCUUUUAUUUGGGUUUGUCACUAUUGAGCGACACUGGGGACUUGAGGCCCCUGUCGAGCACACAAGUCCAGAAUUCCAAAUAAGAGACUCUAAUAAUAAUAUCUGGUGCAGAACCGUCCUUCCAUAGAGAACUAAGGAGCCAGCGCCUCCCGUGCUCCCCAGGAGCUGGCAGGAGGGUUUCCUGAGCAUCUGCUCUGCAGGGGCAUCCCACCAGGCUCUGGCAUGAAUCCUCCAUUCACCCUCACAGCUCCUGUUCGUAGCUUUCAGUGCUCCAUGCUACCAAUGAGGAAACUGAGGCCCAGAGAGUAAGACGGCCCAAGGCCACGCAGCUGGAAAGCUCUUCCUGUCACACCACGGAUCUCGAGUGUUCUGUGCAGUAGGGAAACCUUAGACACUCUUCACUGCAGAGGGUGGUGCAGCCGAAAGUGUAGAUCGCAGGGUAACUCUCCCAGAGCACAGCCACCGAGUGCAGGAGGCAUGCAGAAGGGACGGAGAAGCAUCCCCUCAGGGAUGGGUGGACAGAAGUGGCUCUCCCAGGUGGCCUGAUCUCUGUGGAAGGCAACACUCUCAUCAGCAAAGGCAGCCAGCAGGACAGUCAGUCCACAUAAACAACCAGCCAGAAGGAGAGAAGUGACUUUACAGCUCUUGACCGCACUGCGGGCUGGGAUGCAGACGGAUACGGCUGGAGCUAUGGGAUGUUAUAGGGACGCAGAGCUAAGUAAGUCUGCAGGGGGCUUGAGGUUUGGCAAUUCACAGCCAAGAUUCCAAACCAAGGGAGGCUGCCUGGAGGGAUGAGGUCUUAAAAUGGGAAGUGAAAGCAGUGUGCAGGCAUCCAUCAAUCUAUGGCAGGAGGAUUAUUCUCCUGAAGCACAGAGCAGACUGGCAGAGAGAGGGCCUGGAAGGGAGGACCAGCUAGCUGGAGACAACUGCAGAACGCAAUUAUCGGUCUGAUUUGAACUGAAGCAGGAAAUGGCAACCCUAGUUGAUAUCUAGCCACAGACAUUUGAUGAAACAAAGCAAUUCAGGAGUAGACUCUGCAUUUCUCGUGAUCUUCAUGGCACCCAGAGACCCUAAUUAGUUCUAAUUGGUAGGGAAGGAUCAAGUCAUUCUGAACGGAUGGAAACCCCAACGUCAGCCUGGGUCCUCUUUGGCAUGCUCACAUUGGGACUGACCCAGGGCCACAGAGAAGCAGAUUGCAAGCUCAUUCCCUGAGGGUGGUGCUUCCUCCAAUACUUGCAACUCUCUCCUUGGGAACAUCAGCUUGAGCAGCAAACAGGGCAUUUGGAAAGUUGUCAGCAAUCACAUAGCAGCAUUAUCUUCAACAGGUUUAUGUAACUGAGUUUCAAGUAAAGCAGGCUGACCACAUGGGAGUGUUGGAACUACUCACAGGUCCACAGGACAGUGAUGCAUGAGGCCGGUGGUGAUGGCUUCACUGAUUCAGCUGCAGUCACACAUAGUUUAUAGAGAAGGCAACCCUGGGCUACGACAACAGGAAAACAGGGCCGUGCCCAUCUUAUUCAUUCUUUAUAACCAACGGCAAAUAUUUACUUAGCAAUCAUACAACGCCCAUCACCAGAUUAGACACUUAUGUGGAACUUAGAAUUGUACUGAAUGCAAAUAAGAUGUUAAUUAUUACAACUGAAUGAUGCCUUUAUAGUUAGACUCUAGAUGCAUUUUUAAGACACACUUGAGGGAGAAACAUGGCCAUAAUGUCAUUCACUAUGAGGAUUUUGAAAGAGAAAUUGUUAGGACCCAUAUGCUUCCAUAUAAGCAACAGGAUUUUAAAAUUCGGGCAAAACCAUGACUCGGUUUUGCUCUAAGAUUCCUUUUCAUGGCAGGAAAUUCCCCUUCCUUCUGAUAGGAUGUUGUUUCCUUCUGGCUCUAAAAGGAAUGUGACACCCAAUUAUUUGCCCAGUGGCUUCUUUCAGGACUUGGAAGGUCCCUGAAAUGCCUCUCAUUCUACUGAGAAUCUGACCCAAACCACAUGAACCUCAGAGACAGCCUGGGAUGGUGUUUCAGAGGUGGUCAGACCGGAGGCCCCAGCCCCCUUCCUCCCAAACCCUCCCUCCAGGUGUGUCUGCAGAGAGCCAGCUGAUGUCUUCCGGCCGAUGUCACCAGGUGCAGGGUCUCGAGUCUGCAGCUGCUGAGCUGGAGUUAUUUGUAAAAAAUGGUAGCAGCAAGACAAUAGAUAGACAUCUUGUCCUGAAGGCAGCAGGGCAAUGACUCACGCGGAUGAAUCAUUUUAAAUUAGUCCAGAGGGUCUCGGGGGAACCAAGUUCUAAAUUCAGGAAACAUCAGGCUCUGACCAAGCAAAGACUGCCAACUCAAUUUCAUGAUUCUAGAAAAAGAAUUAAGAGAGUUUUUCGCUAGAAGAAAGCAUAGAGAACAUGUUAUUCAAUGGCAUAAUUCUGUAGAUGUGAAAACAGAAGUCCAAGAUCCAAAAGUCACUUAGCAAAGCCAGACAAAACUGCAGGUCUUCUGAUUCUCAGCUUGGGAAUUCUCUCUGCCAUGCCAUUGGGGCGCACUGCUCACUGUUUGGAAAACUACCGCACAAGCGUG
rnacentral:lncRNA from 1 species